UAGGAGGAUGAGAACAGAGGAAAGAGCUGGAUCUAGGAGGAUGAGAACAGAGGAGAGAGCUGGAUCUAGGAGGAUGGGAACAGAGGAGAAAGGGAGUGCAUGAGUCACAAUAAACAGCUGCAUCUGAACCGUUUGACUUCAAGUGUGUGUGUGAAAUGUGUCAGCGUCUCCACUAGGGGGAAGGUUGUGUGAAACGUGUCAAAUGUGAUAAACGCUAGGGGGCAGAACAGGCCAGUUGGUUGGAAUGGGUUGAUGAGUAUCGCUUUGGCUUUGUCCUUUUAUCUUGUCUACUGUCAACUUAUUUUAUUUCUCCAGUAUGUUUUCACUGAAAGAAAAAGGUUGUCACAAUGAAAUAAUGAACAUUGUGUAUUUGUCUAAUCAAUGUGAAAGUGCAGAAAAGAUGCUGACAAUGUUUGUUAAUGCGUUAGGGUGUACUUUCUAAUGUAGAAAAGGUUUAUAAGUAGUUUAGAAACUGUUAAUUAACUGUUAAUUAGUUCAUCGCUAAUUUACCCUGCAGUCAUGACCUCCUCAUCCACCCACUGUGUGUUAUAAUGAGGUAAUUUGAGAAGGUGUCAGACGUGACUAACAACGACCACAAACGUGAAGCUGAUUGACACAUUCAUUGGUGACUUUUGCACCCUGGUGCUUGAACCCCCGUCCCGUCCCGGUGCUUUGCUCAGGGCAGAUGGGUAGCAGAGGGGGUGAAAGUGGGACAACCCUCACCCCUCUCACCCCCCUCUGUUUUGUUGCGGCCGGCAGCGGAACCAUUUGCUCAGCGGAUGUAAAAAGGAUCACUAUGUCAAUGGAUGUUUGACAAGCCAGGACAAUACCUGGUGGGGCUCCACGCUAACUGCAGGUCAAACCCCCGGGUGUGAUGUCACCCAGUUCCCAGGGCAUUUCACAGCCACCUGGGAGGACUGGAGGAACACCUUUCUACGUUUGCGUCCCAAAUGGCACCCUAUGCAGCACUGCAGCAUCCUGUUACAACUCCCAGUCUCAACGAGGAGCAUGUCAACCCCACCUGCACACAGACAGAGACAGCCUGGCUAGCAUGACAACUAACCCUAGACUGGAGGCUGAACCUGUGAAUGCUGAAACGGUGACCUGUCCUUUGUCUAAGAGUUACUUCCUUCUCACUUUUCAUUUUUUUACUAUUAUAUUUUUCCUAUUAAUUGCCUUUUCUUUGUUGAUUGAUAGAGGUUAAUAACAUUUUUUAAGUCUGAUUCACUAUUACUACCAAGCCAAACACCCACAAUGCUUAGCGGUGAAACGGAGUCUCGACAGAGACGCACAGCUCUGCUCUACCGUUAAUAUUUCCUGGGCGGUGGAGAAGAAAGAGGGAGGAGGUGUCUGGUGUCAUGAUCGUGUUGUGAACACCUGAAUUGUCUUAGUCCCUCUGUGUAUUAUUAGCUGUGUGAAUUUACUACAAUACCUGACCCUGUCUCAUCAUAAUUUGCUAAUUGCUCAGGAAUAAAAACAGAUCCCCAUAUUCA